rnacentral:rRNA from 1 species
UUAGAUACCCUUGUAGUCCACACAGUAAACGAUGAAUACUCGCUGUUGGCGAUACAAUGUCAGCGGCCAAGCGAAAGCAUUAAGUAUUCCACCUGGGGAGUACGCCGGCAACGGUGAAACUCAAAGGAAUUGACGGGGGCCCGCACAAGCGGAGGAACAUGUGGUUUAAUUCGAUGAUACGCGAGGAACCUUACCCGGGCUUAAAUUGCAACUGACGGACUUGGAAACAGGUCUUUCUUCGGACAGUUGUGAAGGUGCUGCAUGGUUGUCGUCAGCUCGUGCCGUGAGGUGUCGGCUUAAGUGCCAUAGCGAGCGCAACCCUUACCGACAGUUACCAUCAGGUAACGCUGGGGACUCUGUCGGGACUGCCGUCGUAAGAUGUGAGGAAGGUGGGGAUGACGUCAAAUCAGCACGGCCCUUACGUCCGGGGCUACACACGUGUUACAAUGGGGGGUACAGAAGGCAGCUACACGGCGACGUGAUGCUAAUCCCAAAAGCCUCUCUCAGUUCGGAUUGGAGUCUGCAACCCGACUCCAUGAAGCUGGAUUCGCUAGUAAUCGCGCAUCAGCCACGGCGCGGUGAAUACGUUCCCGGGCCUUGUACACACCGCCCGUCAAGCCAUGAAAGCCGGGGGUACCUGAAAUGCGUAACCGCAAGGAGCGCCCUANGGGUAAACUGGGGAUUGGGGGCUAGUCGUACCAGG